rfam:Trichobilharzia regenti genome assembly, scaffold: TRE_scaffold0014803
AUCCAGAUGAAGAGUCCCAAUUAGGGCAAAAUGUGUAUCCUGGAU